GUACGAUAUCCCGUCACUUGGUCAAGAUGAUUUAGAUUUGAUGCCAUUGCAUACGUUGGAUCGUAAAAGUCCACCUUUUCGAAGAUCAAAGUCAUCUGUAUCAGAACUGCAGUUACAAGAUGGGAAAUUCAUUGGUGAAUCAACAAAGCAUAGAAAAAUGCUUUUAAAAUUGUGUAAAUAUAGGGCAAGUGCCUUUAGAAAGGUUAA